rnacentral:rRNA from 1 species
CCUACGGGUGACAGCAGUGAGGAAUAUUGGUCAAUGGACGAGAGUCUGAACCAGCCAAGCAGCGUGAAGGAUGACUGCCCUAUGGGUUGUAAACUUCUUUUAUAUGGGAAUAAAAUGUUCCACGUGUGGGAUUUUGUAUGUACCAUAUGAAUAAGGAUCGGCUAACUCCGUGCCAGCAGCCGCGGUAAUACGGAGGAUCCGAGCGUUAUCCGGAUUUAUUGGGUUUAAAGGGAGCGUAGGUGGAUUGUUAAGUCAGUUGUGAAAGUUUGCGGCUCAACCGUAAAAUUGCAGUUGAAACUGGCAGUCUUGAGUACAGUAGAGGUGGGCGGAAUUCGUGGUGUAGCGGUGAAAUGCUUAGAUAUCAGGAAGAACUCCGAUGGCGAAGGCAGUUCACUGGACUGCAACUGACACUGAGGCUCGAAAGUGUGGGUAUCAAACAGGAUUAGAUACCCUUGUAGUC